rnacentral:misc_RNA from 1 species
UUUCAAAGUCGCUUAAUCUAUCAAUUGCAGUCAUCGUCUUGAAGUGACCACCCACAUAAACCAAUAACUUCAGAACUAAACCAAAAGCUAAUUAAGGGGUUUUGCUUAACUCAUUAACUAUGCUAAUUUAGUUAAGAAUUAAACAAUAAUAUAAUUAAAAAAAAAAGACAAGCAAAAAUUAUGAAAUUAUGGCUACAUAAGUAAGGCAUUGAUGUCCUUCCCUUUGGGAAGCUUA